GAUGAACGCUGGCGGUAUGCUUAACACAUGCAAGUCGAACGGUCACUUCGGUGAUAGUGGCGGACGGGUGAGUAACGCGUGAGAAUCUGUCUUCAGGUCGGGGACAACAGUUAGAAAUGACUGCUAAUACCGGAUGUGCCUUUGGGUGAAAGAUUUAUUGCCUGAAAAAGAGCUCGCGUCAGAUUAGCUAGUAGGUGGUGUAAGAGACUACCUAGGCUCCGAUCUGUAGCUGGUCUGAGAGGACGAUCAGCCACACUGGAACUGAGACACGGUCCAGACUCCUACGGGAGGCAGCAGUGGGGAAUUUUCCGCAAUGGGCGAAAGCCUGACGGAGCAAUGCCGCGUGAGGGACGAAGGCUUUUGGGUCGUAAACCUCUUUUCUCAAGGAAGAUGAUGGCGGUACUUGAGGAAUAAGCAUCGGCUAACUCUGUG
rnacentral:rRNA from 1 species